AUGGUGAACACUGACGGUGAAGGUGCCGAUGCCGGGGGAGGAGACCCAAUGAGCGUCGAUGAGAGCGUCGGUGUCGUUGGGGCAGACCAGUGUGAAGGAGCCAGGUUGCAGGACAGCGGUGCUCCGGUCAGCGUUGAAGGGGCCAGGGAAGGACAGGUGCCGGUUUCUCACCCCGGCGGCGGAAUGAGGGUGCGAGGAGCCACUGUGGAGGAAGCCGAGAGCGAGGAGGUCCCAACUGUGCAGGGCAGCAAGGAGGGGGCCGAGGAGCUGCUCCUGAAGGUGGUGUACAGUGAGGAGGAGGCGUACAAGCUGUACUGUGACUACGGGCACCGCACGGGGUUCAGCGUCCGCAAGGGCAAGCAGUCCUACUUCACUGGCACCAAGAGGAUCAGGACCAAGGACUACUUCUGCUCCAAGGAGGGCCUCAAGGAAGCAGAGAAGCUUACCGACGAGAACUUCAACGACCCGCACACCAGGACCAAUUGCAGGGCCAUGGUUCGCUUCAGAGCAAACAGCCAGGGCGAGUGGAGGGUAAUCCGACUCGUGUCUGAUCACAACCACAACUUGGUAAGACCUGAAGAACGACACCUUCUGCGGUCUGCCAAGUCACUUAUAGCUGGGAGGUCAUGUUCUGCUGCGGAUGCGGUGUUAUAUGGUGGGUACCAGUUAGGGGGUGUACCUUCCCAAAUGGCUGCAAGCACUAGCGUAGCUAACAACGCAGAGACUCCGAGGCAAGAUUUGCUCCCUGGUUUUAGCAGCAUAACAAGGACAUCAGCCGUAGGGACCGGAGAGUUGCAAAGCAUUGUAAGCCAUCUAAAGAGCAGAGCAAAUUUAGAUGGAAUGUUUUACUGGGAUGUUCAGUUAGACCGAGCUGGUCGGAUGAGUAAUAUCUUUUGGCGAGAUGGUAGGAGCAGAAUGGACUAUGACUGUUUCGGUGACGUGGUUGUCUUUGAUUCAACUUACCGCUUAAACAAACAGAAUUAUAUAGUUGCUCCUUUUGUUGGUGUGAACCACCAUUGGCAGACCACUAUGUAUGGCUGUGCAUUAUUAGCAGAUGAUUCCAUGUCAUCUUUCACGUGGCUGUUCAAGUCUUUCUUGGAGGCAAUGGGAAACCGGCAACCACGAUCUAUUUUCACCAACCAAGACCAAGUUAUGUCAAAUGCAAUUGAGGAAGUGUUUCCAAAUGCAUGCCAUCGCAUUGCUCACUGGCACAUUCAAAAGAAUGCCGCUUCUCGCCUUGGUGCACUUAAUGCUUCUAAAGCAUUUAAUAAGAUGAUCACCAAGUGUAUGCAGGGAUGCGACUCAGAAGCAGAAUUCGAGGGAACAUGGGCUGCGAUGCUCCGUGAGUUUAAGUUGCAGGAUAAUAAGUGGCUGAGCAAACUUUAUAAGCUCAAGCAGAAGUGGUGUGGUGCUCUGAACAAGUGCACUUUUGAUGGUGGGGUCGAAAACGAGCCACAAUGUGACAGUUUGAGUAACAUAUUCACUUGCAUUGUUGAUAAAUCGACUUCUCUUUCCACAAUUGUUGCUGCUGUGGAUAAGCUGACUGAGGAUUGGCGCGAAAAAGAGUUUGAUGAGGAUGUGCGGUGUUGUCAAAGGCCACUUUCUUGUAUUAUAAAGCACAGUGAUAUUUUGAAUCAUGCAGCAAAAGUUUAUACACACAGAAUCUACAAGCUAUUCGAGACAUAUUUUCUUGACGGUUGUGGGGCCACAAAAUUCAAGGCACUUCCGUGUGAAGACAGUGACACAUAUCGGUUUGAGAUGACUAUGCAGGGUAGAGGGUCAAGAGUCUGCACAGUUCAUCUGAAUAUGUCAACAAUGCAACUCACUUGCAGCUGUAGUCAGUUUGAGACAAUGGGUUUACUUUGUCCACAUACUCUGAAAGCUCUUAGUAUCAAGAAUGUGGGCAAAAUUCCAGAAAUAUAUAUACUGAAGCGGUGGACCAGAGAUGCUAAGCAGUGGGUUUUCAACCCAAAGCAAUAUGAAUCAUCAUAUCAGGAGUGCAUGGAUGAUGAAGCUGGAUACUGCAACCAUGCUAUGAGGUAUGCUUAUGACCUUGUGAUGAAGAGUGAAGGGCAGGAGGAAUUGAGAAGAUCUCUUUGGGAGGCUCUUGAGGGUGGAGAGAAAGAAUUGGAGAAAUACCAAAAUGCUACACAGUAUGCACAAUCUUAUGCCACUUGA
rnacentral:rRNA from 1 species